GGGGCUGAUUUUGGAUUUGACAGCAAGAUUAGUUAUAAAAGAAAGCAUACCGUGUUACGUAAGGUUUUUCACGUAAAUCAAGCGUUACAAAAUAAUAAACGGCGAACAACAAUACGCUUUUGCUGCUUAAUGUUCAAUUAAGCUUUAUCUGCAAAAAUGCAGAAGUAAAAUAUCUCUCAGAAAUUCUUCCUUAUAGUUUCUGAUAUAGAGGUACAAGAAGAUGUUAAGGAUUAGGAAAACAGAUGAUUCUUAAGUUUUCUGAAAAAUUGUUUUGAAUCUUAGUUUUGAUUUCGGAUCCAAAACUGGAAUAGAAACGUAAUAAUUUUUUUUGGAUAAGUAUGUAGAAAACUUUUAUGCUACUUGUUUGGACGCGGGUUCAAAUCCCGCCAGCUCCACCA
rnacentral:tmRNA from 1 species